rnacentral:rRNA from 1 species
GACGAACGCUGGCGGCGUGCUUAACACAUGCCAGUCGAACGGAAAGGCCCUGCUUUUGUGGGGUGCUCGAGUGGCGAACGGGUGAGUAACACGUGAGUAACCUGCCCUUGACUUUGGGAUAACUUCAGGAAACUGGGGCUAAUACCGGAUAGGAGCUCCUGCUGCAUGGUGGGGGUUGGAAAGUUUCGGCGGUUGGGGAUGGACUCGCGGCUUAUCAGCUUGUUGGUGGGGUAGUGGCUUACCAAGGCUUUGACGGGUAGCCGGCCUGAGAGGGUGACCGGCCACAUUGGGACUGAGAUACGGCCCAGACUCCUACGGGAGGCAGCAGUGGGGAAUAUUGCACAAUGGGCGGAAGCCUGAUGCAGCAACGCCGCGUGCGGGAUGACGGCCUUCUGAUUGUAAACCGCUUUCGCCUGUGACGAAGCGUGAGUGACGGUAAUGGGUAAAGAAGCACCGGCUAACUACGUG